UGGGGAAUAUUGCACAAUGGGCGCAAGCCUGAUGCAGCCAUGCCGCGUGUAUGAAGAAGGCCUUCGGGUUGUAAAGUACUUUCAGCGGGGAGGAAGGUGUUGUGGUUAAUAACCACAGCAAUUGACGUUACCCGCAGAAGAAGCACCGGCUAACUCCGUGCCAGCAGCCGCGGUAAUACGGAGGGUGCAAGCGUUAAUCGGAAUUACUGGGCGUAAAGCGCACGCAUGCGGUCUGUCAAGUCGGAUGUGAAAUCCCCGGGCUCAACCUGGGAACUGCAUCCGAAACUGGCAGGCUUGAGUCUUGUAGAGGGGGGUAGAAUUCCAGGUGUAGCGGUGAAAUGCGUAGAGAUCUGGAGGAAUACCGGUGGCGAAGGCGGCCCCCUGGACAAAGACUGACGCUCAGGUGCGAAAGCGUGGGGAGCAAACA
rnacentral:rRNA from 1 species